GAGAUCGAAACUCUCCUAAUUUGACCCAAAGGGCGUUUGCAAGCAGAGUUGAGCAAGACAUUCAUGCCGAAUUUGAUUUGAGCAAUUCUUCAAACACAUUAUGAACAUCAGUUGUAACUCGAAAUCUUCAUACCAAGCACAAGGGCAGGUUAGCGGGAAAGUAUGUGACUUGUUACUUUGGUAUCCAUCACAUCCAAGUUAUUCAUGGAAUCAGAUGUUUCUAAGCUUCAGGAAAAGUUAUUCGUCGCCAUUCACACUUCCUCAUUGGUUGAGACAGAGAAUAGUGGAAUUGCCAUCCAAGCACGCUGAAAUCACGGAAUCGAGCCACUUCCACCUCAAAAAGGGAAGAAAGUGGAGCCUAUUGGUGCCGUUUAAUUUGUCCUCGCCAUUGAGGUAGUCCUCAGAGUUCAUGAAAUCCUCUGGUACCACUCCAGCUGGGACUCGUGGUCGGCAGGUUGUGGUUAACGUGAAGUAAGGAUGGUUGGGUGGGGCGGAGAUGCUUUACCUCACACGCUUGUCAUCGUGUCACCACUCGAUCUGGCCAAUGAGGGGUUGAAGCAUAGUUAUUAGAACCGAACCGGUAAUCGACCUGGUAAUACAACUGGGUCAUUGAUUCAACCGGUUGACCCGAUUACAAUUAAAUAUAAAUAUAAAAUUACAAAAAAUAAGCUUAAAAUUAAAAAUUCAAAAGCAUGUCUUUACAAACACAUUAAUAACAAUCAAGUAUCAAAAUUCUAGGGAAAAAACACAGAAAAAUAAAUAAAUAAGUUAAUGAUAAAUGCCUUAAUCAGAAUAUUCCAGCAACCUUUAUGCACAAAGUCAACAUUAAUAUGCACAGAAAUCCGCAAUAAUUCAGAGAGCAAAAAUUCAGCAAACAAUUCUGGACCAAACAUUCAGAAUUCAAGUUAAAAUUCCACUAAAUGAGACUCAGCAAACAAUUCUAUCAAUCACUCCAAACUGAAUGAAUUCAAAUUCAAGAAACCAAAAAUUCUCAAUCCUAUUCUGUCCAACAUUCAGCCCUAGGUAUAGGAGAACCUAAUACAAGAAAUCAAUAUGAAUUCAACUAAUUAAUUGCCUUGAACCAAGUAACUGAAAUCAGAGUGAGACAGCAAUGCAACAAAAUUUCAGCAUACUCGCAUCGCCAAUAGUGAAAAACAGCAGGUAUUGAUCAAAGUGCAGUUUAAAUUUAAGAAUUCCAGUAACAAUAUCUCAGAAGUUCAGCAUAAGAUCAGGCAAACAAGUAGGCACAAUGAACUCAAUCAGCAGUUCAGCCUUCAACUCAAACAACUAACCCCAAACAGAAUCACAAAUUGUAACUUAGGAAACCCUCAAACAGCACAAACAACCCUAACAUGUCCUCUAACAACAACAGUUCAAAACAGCAUUCUCAGCCAAUACCAAUCAACUAACUCUAGUCUUGACAACUUAAAGCUAACUAGCUAAACUAAUCAAAAUGAACUAUAAACAGAAAUUGCAUAAGAUAGCAGCAUUAAGCAAAAAGGCCUAAUGUAACUAACUAAUCUAACCUAAUUAAAAUAAGCCAACAGAAUUGACUAAACAAGAUUAAUCCACUAAUCAACCUUAAUCGAACAGAAAUAACAUAAAUUGGAACGAGAAUGAAACCUGGGGAGAAGGAACGGAACAGGGGAAGGAAAGGAGAGGAAGAUGGAGGAAGAGAGGCGGCUGGUGGUGGUGCUGUGGCGGUGGGCAGUGGCGGCGGUCNNNNNNNNNNNNNNNNNNNNNNNNNNNNNNNNNNNNNNNNNNNNNNNNNNNNNNNNNNNNNNNNNNNNNNNNNNNNNNNNNNNNNNNNNNNNNNNNNNNNNNNNNNNNNNCUGGUUCGAAUUUUUUUUUUUUUUUUGAAAGGCUUGCCUACGCAUAGAUGAGGCUUGCGUACGCAAUGUUGAUGGUUGGGGACUUACCUUCGCAUACCUAUACCAUGGGUGUGCGUCUCUCACUGCCUAUUCGCAAUGCGUACGUGUCUUGGACAAUUUAGGUGAAUAUGCAUACGCAUCAAGUGGGGUUGCGUACGCAUACAAGGUUCGGAUUCAGGGGAAUUUGCGUACGCAUAGGUCUCGUACGUAUGGGGUACUCUCUGUCUAGAGGCUAUGCACACGCAUUGGGCAUUUUUUGGGACAAUGCAUAUGCAUGUAGGGUGUAUGCGUACACAUGCAAGGCUGGAAGCAGAAAUUUUUGCUCCUCUCUCCAAGAUGCCUCCCUAUACAUAACAACCUCAAAUUCCACAUUUUAAGGCUCUAAACACACAGAACAAGGUUCCCAAAGCAAUCAUUUACAUAACCAAAAGGAAUGAAAAGAUCUAAAACCAACAAAAACCAAGCAAAUACCUAAAACUACUAGAAUCAACAAAUUCAAGCAAUUAUUACAUGAAAAGCAAGGGAGAAUUGGAGGAUCAUACCAUGGUGGGGUGUCUUCCAUCUAACACUUUGGUUUAACGUCCUUAAGUUAGACGUUCAUGAGCUCAAACUUCUUUACCUUCUUAGGACAUCCUCAAGGACAUCCACCUUACUCUUCUUGUUACCCUUGGCAAGAGCACCCUUCAAGGAGUAAUGCUUCCACUUGUCAAUCGGAUCAUUAUAUCUAGCAUUGUUUUCUUGAUGACUUAGAGGUUGGGGAGCAUCUUCAUCUUCCUUGCCAACUCCCUGGCCACUCUUACCUUUACUGACAUUCAUCUCAUCAUCACUUCUAAAGUGGACUUCAAUUAUUUCAUCUUCAAUGAUGUCACAACUGAAAAUGGAGUGCACAUCUGGCGGUUUCCCCAUGGUUUUGUCCAAUUUGAACAUCACCACCUUUCCUUUGACUUCAAAUGAAUAUUCACCAGAAUAAGCAUCCAGCUUAAAGCAGGACGUCUUCAAGAAUGGUCUCCCAAGCAAGAUGGAGGAUGGUAUGUCCGAAUCAAUGGAAGGUGUCUCUAGAAUAUGGAAAUCCACUAGAAAGACUAGGUCCUAAAUUCUCACCAACAUAUUCCCAGCAAUACCCUUAACUGAAGUUAUACUUGUGUCGGCUAGCACGAAUCUAGCUCCCGAUCGCUUCAAAGAUGCAAGGUUCAAUUUCUCAUAAACCGAGAAUGGCAUGAUAUUCACACAAGACCCUAGAUCACACAUACAAUCCGCAAGUUGUAUCUCACCAAUCAUACACGAUACCAAGCAAGGUCUAGGGUCACUAUAUUUCUCAGGAAGAUCCCCUAUCACUGGAGAAACAGAAUUAUCUAAUGAAUUCACCCCUAAACCACCGAUCUUCUCCUUGUGGAUGCACACCUCCUUAAGAAAUUUAGCAUAUUUUGGAACUUGACGUAUGGCGUCAAAGAGUGGGAUGGUUACCUCAACAUUCUUGAACAGUUGCACCAUGUUAGGGUCAAGCUCCUCAUGCUUCUUGGCCUUCUUGGCUAUCGUCGGGAAGGGUAUGGGAGUUUGUUCCUCUAAAAUGUUCUUCCGCUUUGGUUCCUUGGCCUUCAGUUGUUCAUCCUCUUCCCUUGCUAUUCCCUUCUUUUCAUCCUCAUUUAAUUCCACCGUUUCCUCAACUUUCACAUUGGGAACAUCCUCUACCAAAAUAAUAGGCUCAAGCUCAACCUCCUCAAGUGUUGUACCGCUUCUCAAAGUAAUUGCAUUGACGCUACCCCUUAAGUUUGGAAUGGGUUGAGAAGGAAGGCUAGAAGAGCUACAGGCUUGGGUGGUUUUGUUGGUAGGAGGGGGUAAAGAUAGUCUAGAGAGCAUUUCAGCUAUAGAGGUCAAUUGGUUCCUAGUGUUCUCUUCAUUCUUCUCUAUCAUAGCCCGAAGCCUCUCUUGCUCUUGGUAGAUUGAAUAAAAAGCAUCAUCGUUUUGGGUUGUGGAAGAAGAAGAAGGUUGAUUGGUUUGGUUUUGUUGCCUUUGAUGAGGUGGUUGGUAUCUUUGGUUGUUUGGUUGGCUUUAUUGGGAGUGUUGGUAUGAUUGAUUGUGGUUUUGGUUGUGGUGAUUUUGGUUGCCUUGAUAAGAGUUGUUGUGGUAUUGGGAAGAAGGUUGGUAAUUGUUAUGGUGUUGAGAAGAGGAGUUGUUUUGGUUCCACUUUUGGUUUUGGCUAUUAACAUGGGAGUAAUCGCCUUGACCUUGAGAUUGAUAAAGUGGACGGUUGUUGUAGUGGUUGGCUACCGCAAAGGUGUAGUCCCCUUGGACUUGAGGAUAUUGAUCGGUUAGUGUGAGGUGCAAGAGCACACACCUCACACCCUUAGAGGUCCUUCAAGUUGGAGAAUUUGAGGAGGGGCUUGAAUGGCUUGAAUAGAUUGGGAGGCCUUUUGCCCUUGAUGAAUCUCCUUGAGGAUAGUAGUCAUCUCCCCAGGCACUUUAGUCAAAGCCAAGUCAGAAGGAGAUGCUUCCACCACACUUUUAGGAGGAUUAUUCCUCACUCUCACAUGUUGGGUAGCUUCGGCAACAUCAUUGAUCAAAUUCCAUGCCUCCUCUGCCGUCUUGUUCUUAGAAAGAGAACCACCACUUGACGCAUUAAGCAAUCUCUUAUCCAGUGCACAGAGACCUCCAGUGAAAUAACUAAUGAGCAAAUGAGUAUCCAAUCCAUGAUGUAGACAAGACUCUAACAACCUUUUGAAUCUAGUCUAGUACUCAUACAAUGUUUCUUAGUCUCUUUGCAUAAUACCCGAGAUCUCCUUCCGGAUAUAAUCAGUCUUCUCCGGAGGGAAGAACUUAUCCAAGAACUCCCUUCUUAGUAAGUCCCUGAUAAACCACUAUUUUAUGGUUUAUCUUGUGCUAAAUUGAGUAGUUUUUAACAGUUCUUCGCACACUUAUCCAUACAAAUUGCAUGGUUUUACAAAUCCUUCCUAAUUUUGUUCCAUGAUUGGAAACUUGCUUCCUAAGCAUUUAAAUUGUCAAUUUUUAAUUCUCCUUUAUACCAUUCGAUGCCGUGAUCUGUGUGUUAAGUGUUUUCAGGCUUUAUAGGGCAGGAAUGGCUUAGAGGAUGGAAAGGAAGCAUGCAAAAGUGGAAGGAAUACGAGAAACAAAGGAGCUGACCAGCGAGGAUCAACGUGCACGCAUGGCUUACGUAUGCGCGUGACUUGGAGCAUUUCACAGUGAUGCGUACGCGUGACUGACGCGUACGCGUGACAAGCACAGAAGACCAGCGACGCGUACGCGUGACCGACGUGUACGCGUGACAGAGUGACGUGCUGCAUUAAUCAGAACUCGCAUGGGGAGAUUUUGGGCUGGUUUUGGACCCAAUUUUUGGCCCAGAAACAUAGACUAGAGCAGGGGGCAAGCAGACUCAAGGGACAUUCACAUUCACUUUAGUUUAAUUUUUAGUUUUGAAUUCUAGAGAGGAAAACAAUACUUCUUCUAGGGUUCUUCGCAUUCUUAGAUUUUUAGUUUUUAUGCUUUCGGAUUGGAUUUUGAGAGAGUCACUACCUUCGAUUGAAGUCUCCAUCACUAUAGUUUGCUUUCCUAUUACCUUUCUCUUUUAUUUUCCAUUUAGUUUGCUCGUGUCAUAUAUGGAUAUCAUUGAUUUUGGGAUUUAUUAAUGCAAAGAGCUAUUUUUACAUUUAAUUUCAUUAUUUGUUUGAUAAUCUCCAAUUAAUUUAUUAGCUCCAAAUUUGCUUUUAUUAAAUUAAUUUUAAUUACCAUGUCUCCUCUCUACUCCCUUUACAUGUUUGCGAAAAUAGCAUUCAUAUCAAUGGAGUAGACUCCCAACUUGACUUUGGAGUUGAUUAAUAGGAGACCCUUGAGUUGGAAUACUCAAGUAUUAAUCUGUAAUUGGAAGUUGCUGGCUAACUCACUUUUCACUAACUCUAAUCCUUCCCUAGAAAGGGAUUAGGACUUGUGAGUCAGAGUUGGUAUUAGUUACUUGACUUUUCUUUAUUAGUUAGAGGAUAACUGAGUAGAAGCAACAACCUUUUGCUAUUAUACUUGGAAAAAUCAACAAGGAUAGAAAUUUCAAUUAAUUUUCUCCUAAUCAAGGCUUUUUAUUUCGAAUAUAUAAAACCUCUUGUUAAUUUUUAUUGCUUUAAUUGAUAGUCGUUUAUUUUUCUAUUUUCCAAUUCUAAAAUUUCUCAGAAAAUUACUGAUCAACAAUUUACACUACUGUGUCAACUCUUUGGGAAACGACCUGAAAAUUCUACUCCCAGUUUUAUUCUUAAAUUGUGACAUCUUCUAAAUUGACAGUGGGAAUUCGUCGGUUAAGACUGUACUUACAAUGCAACUUUUAUUAAUAUUUCUUAACCGACAUUUUUCCGCCCGUCAGUCCCAAUCAGUCACCACUUUAUCAGGCUGGGAGUAGAACCACUCCUUUGCUUGCCCCUCAAGAGAGAAGGGAAAAGCAAAAACCAUAAUCGCAAUCUCAUCGGCACCAUGCCUACGAGUCGUAGAGCAAGCUACUUGAAAGUCUCUCAAAUGCCUAAUAGGGUCUUGACCCAGUAGACCAUGGUACUUGGACAACAAGUUAAUCAAGCUAUUCUUCAACUCAAAAUUAGGGUCAAGAUUCGGAUACCGAGUUUGCAACGGUUGAAGAAUGAGGUCCGGCUCCCCUUGCUCAUGCAAAGUAAUUCUACGAGGCUCCGCCAUGUGAUUUUCACCUAUAGUAUGCAAGGAUACGUCAGUAGUACCAACAGAGGAGUAAGAAGUUCCCUCGUUGAAAGUGGAUUCUAGAUCAAUCUCGGAUCGAUCUAGUGUCUCAGAAGGUUCUUCAAGAGAGGCCGAUGCACUAGCCGUGUAAUCCAACUGCCGCCUAGCUUACCAAAUAUGAAAUAAGGUUCUUUCAAUUUCGGGAUCAAUUUCGGCUAUGUUAGGAUCCGGUUGAGACCAAGUCAUUUAACUUAGCAACCAUAGCUCAUGCAUUAAAGUAAAUCUAAACUAAAAACAACCUAAUGAAAGCAAGUAAACUAUUCACAAUAUUCACAUAUUCACAUAACCAAUGUUGAGGCACACAUUGCAACCAUUCCCUGGCAAUGGCGCCAAAAACUUGAUAGAAGGAGAAUCGUCGGCUAGAAAUCUCUCGAAAUAGUUUCGUUGCUAGUAUAGUCCCAACCGACGAAUAACUCUCUCAAUCAAAGUUUAGAUUUGGUUGUCACAAGUUCAACCCAAUAAAAAUAACUGAGAGUAUUGCUCCCGGAUCGUCCUCAAGAGAAUGGGCAAAUGUGUGAGCCAAAAUUGGUUAGAAUUCCAGGGUUGAGAAUCAUUGAUAAGAAUUUAAACUAAGAAACUUAACAUGCAAGAAACUAACUAACAAUAAGCUUAAGCUAAACAAAAUAGCAAUAUCCAAAUGAAUACUAAUCAAUAGGGCAAUGUAAGAAUCUACUUCUAUUCUAUAACUAACUAAACAACUAAGCUAAUUAAGAUAAGUAGUUAACACUUGAGAUUUGGGUUUUUCUAAUAUGAAUGAUAAAGGACUCUUGGCUAAGGCUUGAGAAUUGAGGUCUUUAUCCUUGUCUAAUAACCUUAUAUUGACAAUUGUGAGGGACCAACCUCAUCAAGUCUACUUCUAUACUUGAAGUAAGUCAAAUAGGUUUAAUCAACAUCACCCAUAAGUCCCAAUCUAGCUACCAAUUGUCUUAGUAGUAGAUUGGUGUCAAUGGAAAUCAAAUUGAUUAACAAGGGACCCAAAAUUAUCAAUUCAAUUAGACCCAAUGACUCAAGGUCACUCAAUUUUCUUCACUUAAGCCAAGAGUAUGAGAAAUUUCAUCAAACACUUGGUGUGCAAAGCUUAAAACCAUAACUAAUUUGCAAAUUAAACUCAAACUACCACUACCCACUAACAAUUAUCGAUAGCAAAAAACUAAAUCAACACCAAAAGCAUAGAAAACAUCAAUUCAUUAACAACAAUUCAAAAAUAACAAAGUCCAAAGUUGGGAAGUAAAAGAAAAACUAGAAGGAGAACAUGAAAGUAACUAUGAAAUUAAGUAAAGCUAGAAGAAAGAAAACUAAAAUUGAGAUUAAUAAGCAAAUUUCAGAAGCUUCAAUCCAGAAAUCUCAACAAUUGAUGAACAAAACAUGUGAAAACCUAGAGAGAAGUGAGGGUUUCUCUCUCUAGAAAAAAACAAGAACAAAAACUAGCUUAAAAAACUCCUUAAUUCCCUAAUGAGUGUUGUGUGUUAUAUCUUGGUUGACCCCCCAUCCAUUUUCCUUUAGUUGGCAUCAAUUUGGGCUUGAAAAGAGGUCCAAAAAACCCUCAGAAAUUGCUGGGCAUGUGUUCUCAUUAAUGAGUCACGUUUUGCUCAAUAUGCGUACGCAUGCAAGGUGUAUGCGUACGCAUACACAACUAAACUUCAGGAAGCGUACGCAUGUAAAUCCUAUGCGUACGCAUGUAUGGUUGAACUUCAAUAUGCGUAUGCAUGCAAUGUCUAUGCAUACGCAUAUAUGCACGAGCUCCAAGCUUCCAAUUUUCUUUAUGAUUCCUUAUUCUAGCAUGCUUCCUCUUCACUUUCCAUACCAUUUUUUUACCUAUAUGACCUGAAAUACUUGAACGCACAUAUCAAGGCACCAAUGGAAUGAAAUAGUAAAAUAAAACUAACCUAUUUAAGCUUUAAAAAGCAUGCUUUUAUCAUUUAAGCUCAACUACAAAGGGAUCACAAAAACAUGACAAUUUUAAGCAAUAAGUGUGUGAAUAGUUGAAAAAACCACCUUAAAUUAGCCUAAGAUAAACCACAAAAAUGAUAUUUAUCACCAAGGUAAUUCAUGUCAGGAAAUAAAAUUACAUAAUUUCAUAGAAUCUGGUAUAAAAAAUGCAGAAUAUGCCCAAGGCUAGAGAUAGCAUACAAUUAACAAUUUAAUUAGAACAACAUGCAGGAGUAGAAUGCUAAUCCAAGAUAAGCAAGCCUUUAUACUAUGGAAGAGAGGGAACAAAGAACAACUACAUAGAUAAUCAAGCCAUUAAGGGUGCUGUAGAUGUAUUUAUUUAUUUCUUCUAUUUUUCUUCUUCAUUGAAGCAGAUUUUGUUCUCAUCACCUUCAUUUUACUUGAAAGAUUUUUCACUUUAUUUGGAGGCUUAGUUAUUAUGCUGUCCUCAAGGCUGAUUUUUUCUGGCCUUUUAGGUUUGAAAACUUGUGUUAUUGAAGGAUCCAAAACAUCUCUUGAGCACUGAAGAGAGAUCCCCAUGCUUGUGGCUUCAUCCCAUAGCUCUCUUCCCUUCUCAAAAUCCCCUCCUCUAUAAAGCUUUGGAAUGAGCACAUCAUACACUGGUAUGUAACCACCCAGUGAACUUCUCUUUAUUUUCUCAAAAAGUUCAAGAGCACAAUUCACCCUUUCAACCCGACAAAGAAUACCAAUCAAACUGUAGUAGAACUUAUGGUUUGGUAUCAAACCAUUUUCGAUCAUUUGAUCCACUAUAUCUUUUCCUUUGCCGAAUCUGUCAGUCAGAAACAACACCUUUGCUACAAGAUAAUAGCUUACCCAAUCUGGAGCACAACCAGAAUGUUUCAUUUUUUUUAGUAUUUGACAAGAUUCUUUAACCCUUCUGGUCUUUCCUAAACAUGAGAGCAAGAUGUUGUAACUGAUCGAGGUUGGGAAAACCUUGUAAGACUUCAUCUCCAUCAUCACAUUGAAGGCUUCAGUCACAAGCCCUGAAAGAUUACGUCUAAGAUUCAGCUCACAAAGGCACCUGAGGAAUGUGUUGUAACAAAUUAAAUCUGGGGCAACCCCAUUUGAUUUCAUCUCUUGAAUAAUCCUCCUAGCUUCUUUCACAUUCCUCUGUACAGACCACCCAUAAAGGAUACUUCUCUAAAUGCAAAGCAUUGUGCCUGCAAUCUUGUCUUUGUGAUUCUAAACUACCCCUUUAGCCUUCUUAGGAUGCCCUCUAGAACAGAGAGCAUUAAUGAUUGCAGUAACUGUGAAUUCAUCUAUAUAGCACUUGUACUUGUCCAAAUUCUUAAAAAUACCCGACGCCUCAUCUUCUUUCCCCAAUUUGACCAAAGUCUCGGCUACAAGACCAAAAGUCUCAACAUCCAUAACUCGACCCUCCUUCUUCAGGUCUCCGAUCAAGAUAUCCAUAGCUGUGUAGUCUUUCUUUUCUGUGAAAACUCGAAAAGCGUAGUUAUAAUCUUUAUCUUCUAACUUACAACUCAAAUUCUUACUAGACCAUAAGAAGAACCUGAGCAAUCUCCUAGUAUGUGCCUCAUGCUUACAAGAAUCAAUAGCCUGAGUUACAAGAGAUGAAGUCAAAGAAUUUCUAUACUUAUUCAGACUAAAGUCCAAUUCAUCUAACCCACCAACAGUGCUUAUAACAACACUGCACAGCUCUUGCAACUGGAGAGGUAACGGUGUUGAUAUUGGGGGCAAUGUGGAAUAAAGUGAGAUCAAAACUCUCAUAAUUUGACCCAAAGGGCGUUUGCAAGCAGAGUUGAGCAAGACAUUCAUGCCGAAUUUGAUUUAAGCAAUUCUUCAAACGCAUUAUGAGCAUCAGUUGUAACUCGAAAUCUUCAUAUCAAGCACAAGAGCAGGUUAGCGGGAAUUUUGUCCUUGGAGUUCAUGAAAUCCUAUGAUACCACUCCAGCUGGGACUCGUGGUCGGCAGGUUGUGGUUAACGUGAAGUAAGGAUGGUUGGGUGGAGCGGAGAUGCUUUACCUCACACGCUUGUCCUCGUGUCGCCACUCGAUCUGGCCAAUGAGAGGGUUGAGGCAUAGUUAUUAGAAUCGAACCGGUAAUCGACCAGGUAAUACAAUUGGGUCAUUGAUUUAACCGGUUGACCCGAUUACAAUUAAAUAUAAAUAUAAAUUUUCAAAAAAUAAGCUUAAAAUUAAAAAUUCAAAAGCAUGUCUUUACAAAUACAUUAAUAACAAUCAAGUAUCAAAAUUCUAGGGAAAAAACACAAAAAAAUAAAUCAAUAAGUUAAUGAUAAACAAACUAAUUAAAAACUAAAUUCAAUUAAUUAUACCAAAUCAAUACUGCUUAUGUAAGAAUCAAAUCCAUCAAUACUAAGAAUCAAAUCUAUUCUUCCAGCAACAAAUUCAGCUCACCAAUGAUUUUCAACAUCAAAUUCGACUAAGAUAAUUUUCAACAACAAAAGCUUCAACUCCAAAGAUGAUUUACAAUAACAAAAAAAUUUGGCUAAUCGAUUAUUUCAACGUGACAGCAACAAAUUCAACUUUAGUGCUGAUAAUCAGCAACAAACUCAACUCAGUGAUGAUUUUCAUCAACAAAAAAUUAACUCAGUGAUAUUUUCAGCAACAAAUUCAACUUGCAGCAACAAAUUCAACAAAUCUUAGUUUAGUCACGAUUUACGGUAACAUUUAGAUCAGCAACAAGGAAAAUUAAUUGAUUAGCAUUUCAGCAACAUGGAAAAAUACAUGGAGAAGGGAAAUCUGGAAAAGAGAGAACAUGGCAAGCGAUGAUGUAGGAACUCACCAACGGUCCACAGUCCACGGUGACUCGGAGAGGGCAAGGAUCCGAAACCAGAAAACGACGAGCGACGACAACCCCACAGAAGGCGACGAAAAAAGUGACAACCCCACUAGUUGCUUCUACUACCGACAACGAGGAUACCAUGGAAGGCCGCAAGAUGUUGAGACGAUGGCGACGAGACUAACGAACGACGAGAUGCCAGCAGUGUGGCUGAGAUGAGACAUGAAUAAGACUGAGAGCCAGAACCGAGCAGAGACAACAAGAGGCGCUGCAGUAAAAGCAAGAACAACCACGAAUGACGAGCAGCAAAAAACACAGCUCGAGCACUCACUGGCGAAGGGAGGCGCCGCGAGACGCGAGCAGCUGAGCACAAACGGUGGAGAGGUGAGACGCGAGCAGAUGUCGCGGAGGAUUUGGCGAGAGCGCGGCGAACGUUCAGUGGUGACAGUGAACCGAGGUGAGUUGAGAGUGGGAGAGAGAGAGAGAGAGAGAGAAAGAGAGAGAGAGAGAGGGAGAGAGGUGGGCAGCUUCAGAAGUAGGGUUUAUUUUUAUUAAUAUUAAAGACAUCAAACGACCUCGUUUGGGGGCACAGAUUUUAGAGGAAAAAAAAUUUCUUAACCAGACUGGGUUUCUCAAACCCUCCGGUUUGGUUUUCUUAAAACCCAGCCGGGUCAAACUGGUUCCAACAGUUUUUUUUUUGUCCAGUCAUUGCACUGUUCGGACCAGCCUAAAGGUUGGAUUGUCGGCCUUUUGAUCCGACUAUUUGAGUCGGUCUAGUUUUUUGAACUUUGGAUCGAAGGCCACCGAGUCCAAAUGGGAUGGAGUAACUCGGAAACAGAACAAAAGUCACGAGCCAAUAAUCAAAAUUUAGGGUCAACUUCAUAAACAAAUAAACAAAUAUUUAAAGUUAUCCACAUGCAACAAAUGAGAAUUGAUUAUAUUUAUUUUUUGAUACUAUAUACACAACUAGACAACGUCAUCACAAAAUAAAAAAAGUUAAAGGAAAGUCUAGGGGACCUGUAUUUUUAUUAAAAUCUGGCCAACACUUAACCAGCAAAAGAAAAGUGAGUAAUUCCACACCAUUGGAUGAAAUCUCAGACCAUUAAAAAAUCUAAUGAUGGCUAAUUGAUGGCUCAAAUCACAAAACUUGUUGGCCCCCUAACACUCCUCAAAAGUUAAUCCUAGUUAUAUCUUAAUGAAAACUCUAAUAAAGAUUAAAUACUUUUUUCGUCCUUAACAUCUUAGGUCAAAAUUAAAAUCGUUUUCAACCUUUUUAUUAAUUUCAUCCUCAAUAUUAUAAAACGUUAUAAAAUCAUCAUUUCCUAACUCUUGGACUAAAAUACCCUUCAUCAUCAUCCUUCCCUUCUCCUUCUUUACUCCACAGUUCACCUCACCCCCACCACCUCCAUCACAUCCACAACCACCUACAUUACCACAGCUCCAUCCAUUACUGUUGUUGGUUCAUUGGUAUAUAUAUAUAUAUAUAGAGAGAGAGAGAGAAUAAUCCUCCUAGCUUCUUUCACAUUCUUCUGCACAGACCACCCAUAAAGGAUACUUCUGUAUAUGCAAAGCAUUGUGCCUGCAAUCUUGUCUUUGUGAUGCCAAACUACCCCUUCAGCCCUCUUAGGAUGCCCUCUAGAACAGAGAGCAUUAAUGAUUGCAGUAACUGUGAAUUCAUCUAUAGAGCACUUGUACUUGUCCAAAUUCUUAAAAAUACCCAAUGCCUCAUCUUCUUUCCCCAAUUUGACCAAAGUCUCGGCUACAAAACCAAAAGUCUCGGCAUCCAUAACUCGACCCUCCUUCUUCAGGUCUCCAAUCAAGAUAUCCAUCGCUGUGUAGUCUUUCUUUUCUGUGAAAACUCGAAGAGCGUAGUUAUAAUCUUUAUCUUCUAACUUACAACUCAAAUUCUUACUAGACCAUAAGAAGAACCUGAGCAAUCUCCUAGUAUGUGCCUCAUGCUUACAAGAAUCAAUAGCCUGAGUUACAAGAGAUGAAGUCAAAGAAUCUCUAUACUUAUUCAGACUAAACUCCAAUUCAUCUAACCCACCAACAGUGCUUGUAACAACACUGCACAGCUCUUGCAACUGGAGANNNNNNNNNNNNNNNNNNNNNNNNNNNNNNNNNNNNNNNNNNNNNNNNNNNNNNNNNNNNNNNNNNNNNNNNNNNNNNNNNNNNNNNNNNNNNNNNNNNNNNNNNNNNNNNNNNNNNNNNNNNNNNNNNNNNNNNNNNNNNNNNNNNNNNNNNNNNNNNNNNNNNNNNNNNNNNNNNNNNNNNNNNNNNNNNNNNNNNNNNNNNNNNNNNNNNNNNNNNNNNNNNNNNNNNNNNNNNNNNNNNNNNNNNNNNNNNNNNNNNNNNNNNNNNNNNNNNNNNNNNNNNNNNNNNNNNNNNNNNNNNNNNNNNNNNNNNNNNNNNNNNNNNNNNNNNNNNNNNNNNNNNNNNNNNNNNNNNNNNNNNNNNNNNNNNNNNNNNNNNNNNNNNNNNNNNNNNNNNNNNNNNNNNNNNNNNNNNNNNNNNNNNNNNNNNNNNNNNNNNNNNNNNNNNNNNNNNNNNNNNNNNNNNNNNNNNNNNNNNNNNNNNNNNNNNNNNNNNNNNNNNNNNNNNNNNNNNNNNNNNNNNNNNNNNNNNNNNNNNNNNNNNNNNNNNNNNNNNNNNNNNNNNNNNNNNNNNNNNNNUAAAGGAUACUUCUCUAUAUGCAAAGCAUUGUGCCUGCAAUCUUGUCUUUGUGAUGCCAAACUACCCCUUCAGCCCUCUUAGGAUGCCCUCUAGAACAGAGAGCAUUAAUGAUUGUAGUAAUUGUGAAUUUAUCUAUAGAGCACUUGUACUUGUCCAAAUUCUUAAAAAUACCCAAUGCCUCAUAUUCUUUUCCCAAUUUGACCAAAGUCUCGGCUACAAGACCAAAAGUCUCGGCUACAAAACCAAAAGUCUCGGCAUCCAUAACUCGACCCUCCUUCUUCAAGUCUCCAAUCAAGAUAUCCAUCGCUGUGUAGUCUUUUUUUCUGUUUAAACUCAAAGAGCUUAGUUAUAAUCUUUAUCUUCUAACUUACAACUCAAAUUCUUACUAGACCAUAAGAAAAACCUGAGCAAUCUCCUAGUAUGUGCCUCAUGCUUACAAGAAUCAAUAGCCUGAGUUACAAGAGAUGAAGUCAAAGAAUCUCUAUACUUAUUCAGACUAAACUCCAAUUCAUCUAACCCACCAACAGUGCUUGUAACAACAAUGCGCAACUUUUGCAACUAGAGAAGUAACGGUGUUGAUAUUGGGGGCAGUGUGGAAUAAAGUGAGAUUGAAACUCUCAUAAUUUGACCCAAAGGGCAUUUGCAAGCAGAGUUGAGCAAGACAUUCAUGCCGAAUUUGAUUUGAGCAAUUCUUCAAACACAUUAUGAACAUCAGUUGUAACUCGAAAUCUUCAUAUCAAGCACAAGGGAAGGUUAGCGGAAAAGUAUGUGACUUGUUACUUUGGUAUCCAUCACAUCCAAGUUAUUCGUGGAAUCAGAUGUUUCUAAGCUUUAGGAAAAGUUAUUCGUCUCCGUUCACGCUUCCUCAUUGGUUGAGGCAGAGAAUAGUGGAAUUGCCAUCCAAGCAUGCUGAAAUCACGGAAUCGAGCCACUUCCACCUCAAAAAGGGAAGAAAGCGGAGCCUAUUGGUGCCGUUUAAUUUGUCCUCGCCAUUGAGGUAGUCCUCGGAGUUCAUGAAAUCCU
rnacentral:lncRNA from 1 species